rnacentral:rRNA from 1 species
AUCAUGCUUUACACAUGCAAGUCGAACGGUAACAGGUCUUCGGAUGCUGACGAGUGGCGAACGGGUGAUAAUACAUCGGAACGUGCCUGGUAUGGGGGAUAACUACUCAAAGAGUACUAAUACCGCAUGAAUCUACGGAUGAAAGCAGGGGACCUUCGGGCCUUGUGCUACCAAGCGGCUGAUGGCAAUUAGAUUGGGGGGUAAAGGCUUACCAAGCCUGCGAUCUGUAGCUGGUCUGAGAGGACGACAGCCACACUGGGACUGAGACACGGCCCAGACUCCUACGGGAGGCAGCAGUGGGGAAUUUUGGACAAUGGGCGAAAGCCUGAUCCAGCAAUGCCGCGUGCAGGAUGAAGGCCCUCGGGUUGUAAACUGCUUUUGUACGGAACGAAAAGCCUGGGGCCAAUACCCCCGGGUCAUGACGGUACCGUAAGAAUAAGCACCGGCUAACUACGUGCCAGCAGCCGCGGUAAUACGUAGGGUGCAAGCGUUAAUCGGAAUUACUGGGCGUACGCGUGCGCAGGUGGUUUUGUAAGACAGUGGUGAAAUCCCCGGCUCAACCUGGGAACUGCCUCUGAGACUGCUUAGCUAUUAGUACCGGCAGAGGAGGAGGAUGGAAUUCCUGGUGUAGCGGUGAAAUGCGUAGAUAUCCGAAGGAACACCAAUGGCGAAGGCAAUCGCCUGGGCCUGUACUGACGCUCAUGCACGAAAGCGUGGGUAGCAAACAGGAUUAGAUACCCUGGUAGUCCACGCCCUAAACGAUGACAACUGGCUGUUGGG